rnacentral:lncRNA from 1 species
GGUAUGGGUGGUGGCUCGCACCAUCCAAGGACCAGGAGACAAGAAAUCGCCAUUCGAGACAGUUACAACCCCUCUUGGCUCCCCAAGCUAGGACCCGUUCACUCACUCACUCACUCAACUCUCCAACAGCACUUAUUAGCCCUAAUAAUAACCAUCUUGGUAGUAUAAUAUUGCAACAUAUUAUAAGUUUAUAACAUAACAAACUAUUUAGCUACAUGAUUGAUAGAUGGCAGCACCCAUUUCAAAUGUUCUGUUCCCCAUAGUCUAAGUAGCCUCAAGACAAGGGAAAGGGAAAAACGAAGCAGAUAAGUACGAAGCAUGGCAUGCACAUACCCACCACCAAGAGCCUCUAUGGUCUAUGUGAAGUAGAUGUGCCACCCUGCAAUGGGCCAUAUGACCAUGACAAUACUUCUCAUGUGAAGGCUUACUUGCUACCAUGGGCGGUUGCAUGGGGUGGGGGGAAGUAUCUUGGUGAGAACGAGGGGGUGAGGCCAUUGCCGGAUGGGCCUGAGAAGCCGUCGCUUUCCAUUGCGGCUCGCUGUGCGUGCUGAGGUGUUGGGGGUCGGAAGAGAAGGGGAGAGAUGGCGGCCAUUGGGUCUGUUUCUCGAGGGUGAAGAACGAAAACCUCGCGGGAGAGCCGGGGACCGCGUAGAGUUGGAGCGUGGUUAGGUCGCAGUUUAGCUCGGCCUUCGAUGAUGCUAUCAGGAUUUAAAAGGUGCGAACCUCUUGAGACAAAGGUGGCACACCUAACAGCCUUCUGCCCCUCCAUCUCCUCUCACACACAGAGAGAGAGAGAGAAAGAGAGAGAGAGAGAGAGAGAGCUUGCAGUGGGGUUGUCAGUCGAGGAGCCUUCUUAAAAACUAGCUUUGACUGUCGC